rnacentral:lncRNA from 1 species
GAUUUGUAUCUUGCAAUAACAGUAACAUUGUGUUUAAAAUAAAGUUCUACAUCAGUAAAAGCAGGAAGAAAAAUUCACAGUGCAGAAGAAGACAAGAAACACAAAAAAUAUCUGCAUCAGCUACUCAAUGAGUUCUUGAUCACCCUCCUCAAUCCCACUCACUUGCACAAAAUCGGGGAUCCUUCUAACAAAUUGAUUCCAUUCUGAUCCAAAAUUUCCAGCUGGGUUCUCUUCCCUCAUUGAUCUAUAAAUAAGAGCUCACUCCAUCACUGAAAGAGAGGAGAGCGUUGUUAUUCUGCUGAAAUUUACUCAACAAAACCCUCACCAUAAACCGUCGCCGGUAACCACCGUCCAUCGCCCUUCCUCUCUCACAACCACCACGAGCUCAACAUUCGUUCUCUCUAUCUCCGUCUCGCAGCCACAUCUCUCUCACCAUGCAAAUCAACACCCCCACAUGACCGUCAAAUCCUCCUACCGCCAACGACCUCAUAACCGCCGCUCAAACCUCCAUUACCGACGAAACAACUCUUCUCCGGAAACCAACAAUCCACCGUCCUUCAACCAUAAACAAUCUUCCGCCGUCCUUCACCGACCAUACCAACAACCA